rnacentral:rRNA from 1 species
AACGAACGCUGGCGGCGUGGAUAAGACAUGCAAGUCGAACGGGAUUUUUUCCUGUAGCAAUACAGGAAAAAGUCUAGUGGCGAACGGGUGCGUAACACGUUAGCAACCUGCCGUGAAGUGGGGGAUAGCUCGCCGAAAGGCGAAUUAAUACCGCAUGUGGCCAAGGAAGACAUCUUCCUGACGCCAAAGCCGGGGCAACCUGGCGCCUCUCGAGGGGCUCGCGGCCUAUCAGCUUGUUGGUGAGGUAACGGCUCACCAAGGCUAUGACGGGUAGCUGGUCUGAGAGGACGACCAGCCACACUGGAACUGAGACACGGUCCAGACACCUACGGGUGGCAGCAGUCGAGAAUUUUUCACAAUGGGGGAAACCCUGAUGGAGCGACGCCGCGUGGAGGAUGAAGGUUUUCGGAUUGUAAACUCCUGUCAUUAGAGAACAAGGCACACGGUUUAACUGGCCGUGUGUUGAUAGUAUCUGAAGAGGAAGAGACGGCUAACUCUGUGCCAGCAGCCGCCGUAAUAC